UAUAUGCAGGUAACUUCGGACUGGUCCACUAAACUCUUUGGAUGUAUGGAGGACGAACACACGUGUUUACUGGGCGCGCUGUGCACACCGUGUUUGGCCUGUUCACUGGCCCGUCAGCUCGGGGAGUCCUGUUGUGUCGUGGCCUGUGUUCCGGGAGGAGUCUUUGCGCUGAGAACAAAGCUUCGGAUGCAGCAAAACAUUGAGGGUUCAAUCUGCGAUGACUGCCUAACACUGAGCUGCUGUUGCCCAUUUGCCCUGUGCCAAAAGGCCCGAGAGCUGGACAACGCAGAAAUUGGACGAUUAUAGGAUGAACUGAAACCAGUACGGCCACCUCGAGGGUCAACAGGCUGAACACAAUGUGCAUGACUUGGGCCAAAACUGAACCCAAACAACUCCACCACAUUCUGAAAUGAUUUCUGAAAAUAACACGCAGCACGGCAACAGCAAAGUCAUACAUCCAACAGAUAGUGUUUUACAAGAAGAUGAUAUAAUUUCAGAUAUGUCAAACUAAUACUAUGCAAAGACUACAUCAGUACUGUAGAACAAUUCAGUCUGGUCAAAUUUUUAUUAGAAAUGAUAAAAUUAUUUUCCAAAUUCCACAAAACAAAAUCGAUAAAAGCUGUAAGGUGUCAAAGGAAAACACUAUGCCCUUUAUAGACAAAAUAUCAAAUCAGCUUUGAAAAUGAGGGGUUUGUGAUAUUUUGUGUUGAGGAUAACAAAGACAUGAAGAAGAAGAAAUAUCAACCAACGUACCCUCUGCAUGCUUGGCUGCCAAUUUGAAAUUUGUCUGUCGUACAGAGCACUCGAUGAGAUAUUUUUUAAGCUUUCACUGAUGCAAAUACAAACCUUAAAUUCGUUUGUUCAGCCCUGAAGACCUUUAGUGAAUAAUGGAAUUUCAAAUAAAGCAUGUUUUCUGAAAGUCGGGAGUUUUCCAUCAAAUGGAUUGAUGCAAUCUGUGUUAUAUAUAUGUUCAUAUUUCCCGACACAAAUUAUGUACAUAGUCCAGUGAGCAAUUUUAU